rnacentral:rRNA from 1 species
GACGAACGCUGGCGGCGUGCUUAACACAUGCAAGUCGAACGAUGAACCCGGAGCUUGCUCCGGCGGAUUAGUGGCGAACGGGUGAGUAACACGUGAGUAACCUGCCCUUGACUCUGGGAUAACUGCUAGAAAUGGUAGCUAAUACCGGAUACGACCCUCGGUGGCAUCACCAGGGGGUGGAAAGAAUUUCGGUCAAGGAUGGACUCGCGGCCUAUCAGCUAGUUGGUGAGGUAACGGCUCACCAAGGCGACGACGGGUAGCCGGCCUGAGAGGGUGACCGGCCACACUGGGACUGAGACACGGCCCAGACUCCUACGGGAGGCAGCAGUGGGGAAUAUUGCACAAUGGGCGCAAGCCUGAUGCAGCAACGCCGCGUGAGGGAUGACGGCCUUCGGGUUGUAAACCUCUUUUAGUAUGGAAGAAGCGAAAGUGACGGUACCUGCAGAAAAAGCACCGGCUAACUACGUGCAGCAGCCGCGGUAA